rnacentral:lncRNA from 1 species
CAAAACGAGUUCAAGCCUUCUCUUUCAUUCUCCCAAACUCCUUAUCACAUCUUCCUAGAUUCCAUCCCAACCUCCAGAUUUCCCCUCACGCCCGUCUCCACCCUCCUGGCAUUUCGGUAGAGAGCCCCAGCUCAUCUCCCCUCCUCUUCGCCCGUAGGAUAAACUCAUCUUUCCCAGCUCCUCCUGUGAUGCAAACCAACCAAUCUCCCCAGCAUCCGCAUCAUCUUCCUAGAUUUCAUCCCAACCAAAUCUAGUGUCUUCCCUCUUCCGAAACACCCAAACCUCUCUCUGUUCGCAAGAUCAACUCUCAGCAAAUCUAAAUCCCAGCCUUCAUGGAAGAAAAGAGCAGAGUAGCUCAAGGAUUUCCUUUUUCGUGAGUUUAUCCCAACAUCAUCCAAACUUCCAGCUCAUAUUCCCUCCAUUACCGUUCAGCUCUUCUACCGUAAUCCCUCUGUGAUUCAAACUUCCACGCAUAGAUCCCAGCAAAUUUCGAAAUCCCAGCUCCUUUGUUCUCAGCCGUAUCCAUCAUUUUCAAGUCUCCCGUGUCUUCAUCCACUUCACCCUCCCGAACUCCACAUCCAUUUCAUCUUCCCGAGUUCCCUGCGAUCCUAUCAACGGCUACCAUCCCACAUGAGAUCUCCCAUGUCCAAAGAACUGAGCUGUGUGCCCCUUCCUUAUCCGAAUCCCCUUCAUCCCAUUUGUUCCCCUGUUUCUCCGCGAUUUCCUCCACGUCCUUCCCGAGCUCAUCCUCCCAGCUCAUAAAUUCAUUUCCUUAUCCCUUCUUCGGAACAAAUCCCAGCAUUCCAUCAUCCGCGAUUCAUCAUCAUCUCCUGGAAAUCUUUUAUCCCAUGAGCAUCCCAACUUAGUCCACGGUUUUCUCCCAACCAUCAGCCGAAUCAUCUACGGAUUCAUCCCAUCAUCUUCCAGCCGAGAUCCCAACUUCUCUCCCCUGAUUUCUUCACCCGUUCGAAUCAAGUCGAGUCCCAAGCUUCAUAUUUCGAUCACUCCCUUCCGCAUCCCCUGCUCCGUUAUAUCUCAACUGCCAACCUUCAAAUCCCAAGCCAGCCUUCAUCUCAUCCGCGGUCAACUCCCAGCUUCCAGCCACGUCCAAGAUCUCCUCCCACGCAUUGAAGAAGUGGCGAUUUCUUCCACUCAUUCCAUGAUCUAGCAGUGUUCGAGAUCCUCUCAACAUCCACGUCUUCGCCAUCCUCUGCAUCCAAGGGAGCAACCGACUUCUUCAACAAAAUCAGUUCCCAGACUAUAAUCCCAACGCCCGGAUUAAAUCUGCUACGCGUCUCGCCCGUGUCAGUUUCUUGGCCCUUAUCUUCCCAUGACGUGAUGAGAUAACAGGAGUCGACAGAGGCUAUAAAAGGAGGAGAUUUCUCCUCUUCAGAAAUCAAGCGGGGAGAGGCCGACUUCCCAAAGAAACAGAGGAGGGAGAGAAGUUUGGGUCUUUUUGGGAAUGCCUUUUCAAAAGAAAAAAAUAAUGAAUUGCUAGAGAAGGAAGGAGAGAUCCAGGGAAGAAAGGAAGAAAAGAAGAAAUGGGAGCCCGCUGCUAUGCCACUGCUGCUGUCGCCCACGACUCCAUGGAAGGCUGAUCUUCUCUCUAGGGCCGGAUGCAGCCCUAACAAAGGGACACGGAUUUUAUAUUUUAUUUUAUAUUCUUGGGGUUGUAUGAACUUAUUGUUUUCAAUGGAUAUCUUCUUUUGAAUCAUAUUUAAUUUCUGUAAUUUUAAGUAUGAUGUUCGUACAACUGUUCUUCAUGAUCACUAAGUAAAAAUAAGAUAGCUCAUGCUUAAGGAAGAUACGAUGUGCUGCCACCUUAGAUUAGGGUAGACAUUUCAUGCUAACUAAAGAUGGAUUAUGCCUAAAUUACUUUUGUAAAAUUUUAUUCGAAUGCUUAUUAGGCUUGUAGCCAAUUUGCAUGUUAAUCCAAGAAUAAAUUAAAAUACAAAUAAUCCUUGUUCCGAUGUUAGGGGUGAAUUCCUUACCCUAGGUUCCCUCACACUGAUAUCACUUCAAUUGCAAUUUUUUUUAUUAAAUUUCUUAGUUUAAUUCUCUUCACAAAUUUUCUUUUUUAAAUAUUUUUUUUAAAAAAUAACUGUACCCUAAUCCCUGUGGAUCGAUACCCGUAAUCACUAUUCUACCAGAUACAUGCUAUUGCGUGGUCUUUAAAAUUGACUAUCAAAUCUCUAGCAUGACUAUCGACACGGGUUGGGCGUGAGACUCUUCCGGAUCUCUUAGUAACGGCUCGCUUGGGUCCCAUUUUCACCAAAUCCUUGUUAGCAUCCCACAUAUGCCAUGAAAAUUUUGAAAUAAUUUUCAGAUUGCAGCGGAAAAAUCUAUGCAGGAUUCGUUCAUCAUAUGAACAUAUUUUAAAACCUUUCGUUUGUAGAUGGAUUAGAAUUAAAUUAUUUUAAACCAUUUUAAAAUCAUUAAGAAGAUCAGAUCUUCACCUUGUGCGGGUAGAUGGUCUCCACAAAUCUGAUUUACGUGGUAUUUGAUGAGGGUUCAAUGGAAUCCGCACAUGCGUCCGGCCUCUACAGGUAUCCACACGAAGUACUGACUCGAUCGAAGCCUUUGGAUCUCACCGAGGUGCUAGCUCCCUUGCAGAGAUGGCUAUGGAUGGCUGAAGUCCUCUCUUUUGAAUCAACCUUUGAUUGGCUUGAGAGGAGGAAGAAGAAGGAAGAACCAAAGGAACAAGAACAAAGCCCUGCAGCCUUUUCCUUUUUCUUCCUUUUGGAACCAAGAUGAAGAAGGAAGAGGGCGUCUUAGGCUUUUCUUUUUCUUCUCUUGAUUGUGGCUCAAAUGANNNNNNNNNNNNNNNNNNNNNNNNNNNNNNNNNNNNNNNNNNNNNNNNNNNNNNNNNNNNNNNNNNNNNNNNNNNNNNNNNNNNNNNNNNNNNNNNNNNNNNNNNNNNNNNNNNNNNNNNNNNNNNNNNNNNNNNNNNNNNNNNNNNNNNNNNNNNNNNNNNNNNNNNNNNNNNNNNNNNNNNNNNNNNNNNNNNNNNNNNNNNNNNNNNNNNNNNNNNNNNNNNNNNNNNNNNNNNNNNNNNNNNNNNNNNNNNNNNNNNNNNNNNNNNNNNNNNNNNNNNNNNNNGGAUUUGUAUGAAUCCAUUUCAAUUUCCUCCUUAUCCUAAUCUAAUUAGGAUUUAAUUGAACCAUGACUCUAUUGAACUCUUUAAUUCUAAUCCAAUUAGGAGUCAUUUAAUUAAUUAGAUUAAAAUUAAAAUUAAUUAGGACUUAAGAAAAUCCUAAUCUAAUUAGGACUUGUCCAAAUUUCAGCCCUAAGACAAUUAGGACUUUAGAAAUCUUAUUCCAAGUAGGACUCUAAUUUAAUUUGAAAUCCUAAUCCAAUUAGGACUCCAUGAAUCCCACUCCAAGUAGGACUCAUGAUCAAGUCCAAUUAAUUAAAUCUAAUUAAUUAAAUUAAAUUAAAUUGCAAUCCGAUUGCAAUUAUUCCUUCUUCUAACCACUAACUCUUAGCGGGUUAACCAUUUAUCAAUCUAAUUGAUUAUUUGUGAUUCCUAAUCACAUUCAACCAUCGGAUCGGUCAAUACAUCUAAUGUAUGUGACCCCAUAGGUUUUAUUCUGACUGGUAGUGAGAAAUAUUGCAAUCUCUAUUACAAUAUCAUUGAAAACUCCUUUCAAUGGGUUGAAACAAUUCCAACUCAACUCACCAGGAAUUAUCGACCAUCAAUAUGAUCCCUGUGAGUCUCACCAUCCACCAGUGACACCUAGCAGUAUGUAGUGGCCACCCAGUAGAAUAGAAUGAUGAACCUCUAGGUACAGUUAUUGUAUGAUACAGUCCUUCUAUCGUGGAUCCCUACAGACCGGAGGUCAUGGAUAACUCGUCAAACCCCAUCGUCUGCCAUAUGUCUAGAUUUAUUUGACUUGAGUUUUAGAGUAGAAAACUCUUUUCCACUGUAUAUUCUGCCCUGGCCAAGGUCUUAGAACUCAGUCUUAUAAAUCACAUAGGAUUUUUUCUCAUCUAUCAAGGUCGAUAGAUUCCAUGUAAGUGCAUACCCUACUCCUACAGUGAACCUACUGCAGCCAAUCUACACAACAAGGACCCAUAUGACUAGAGACCAUGUAUAUGUGCAGUCAAACUACAAUAACCUCACUGUGAAUAACCGAAACACUGCAGGUCAAAGGACCAGUCACACUACUGCAACAUCAAGCAAGUCACUGACGAGUGGAUAGACAUCCAAGUGACUUCUUGUCUUGCUCACGCUCAGUACCCUUGUUCUCUAACAAGCACCUGCACUAUCACUUCAGUGUCCCUACACUGUGGACUCGAGUCUCGUCCAUCCAUAAGGAAAGCGAUCUGUGCACUGAUCGGAUUGAUCACCGUCCUCGUGAUGAUCCAUUGGUCAGGAGCAUUUAGAAAUUAAUCACCAAUGACACAUGGCUCAAAUUCUCAACUCUUGAGAAUAUGUAUCAUCAUCUUAUUAAUUUCUUGGACAAUUCAUAGACACAUAAACAAUAUGAAUGAAAAGAUGCCCAUUUAUUAUUCAAUAAUAAUAAAGUCAAGCAUAAAUUUAUGCCCCAAAAUUAAUAAUGUGUCCGCCAGAUUGGCUUCUAGGGCAUACAUCCAACAACUUGGAGGCGUGAUGGAGGCUUAGGUGUUCUAGUCGGAGAAGAAUUCUAGAAUAUCCAAGACGCAUGUUCUGGUUGGCCAGGAUACAAGUUCUGAUUGACCGUAGGGAAUUAGGAUAACUAUGGAAUGAAUGAGAGAGUCUCACCCUCACUCAAUCCAAUAGUUGGCGUGAAGAGUUAGAUGGCAUCUCACUUAUCCUUCUUCAGCCCCUCUUGGUGUUGUACCAAGAAAAAAAUAAGAAAUCUCUCCUUUCACGUGAAAGAUCAUAAUUUUUCAAACCACUCUAUCUAAAUUUUAUUCUUCAACCUUCUUUAUUUAUAGAGUAAGAGGUUGGGAUAAACAUAGGCUCUUACAAUUCAAAAUUAAAAGGACUCCUACUUGACAUGGACUCUUUUAAAUCAAAUUAUUGACUAAAUCAAAUAAUAUGAUUGGACUUCCACUUAAUUUUGGACUCCCCAUGGCACAUGGAUUAGAGUCUAAGUCGGCUAGGAAUCUUCCUCAAACGCCACAUGGACCAAAUAGACAAACUCCUAAUCACUCGAGGACUCUUCAAUGCCAUGGACUCAAUGUGGUUUCAUGGCGUUGGGAAUCAAACUCCAAUUGACGCAUCACGCCAAGCAAAAAGAACUCAAUCUAACAUUGGACAUGCCCAAUGUUGAACCCAAACUCCUUAACUCAAGACUCCUAAUCAAUUUGGACUCUUUAAUUGACACAUGACUAACAGUCCAAAUCAGCUAGGACUCUCUUACACGACACAUAGACCCAUUAUAAAGACUUCAAAUAAUUUAGGAUUCUUCAAUGCAACUAGGACUUAAUGUAAUUGGGUGUUGAAACACUCAAGCCCAAUGUAACUAGGUGCUAAAAAUCUUGGAUCUACUAUAAUUCGGUGUUGACACUUUGCGGACCCAAUGUAAUUUGGCGCUCACCCAAGAAGGAGACUCAAUCUCCACGCAUGCCCCGUGAUUGAAUCGAUGCUCCUGCAUCAUGUCAAUACGAUCAAUGAAGCUAAACUGAAGGAAGUUGUUGCCCUGCUAUGUAGCCCAAGAGGAGAGGGGUGAAUUGGAUUUUUCAAAAACUAUAGCUAAUAGUACAACAAAAUUAAAUGCUUAAUAGAAGAAUAUUUAAAUUAGUAGACAAGCAUUAAGUAAAUAAGCAAGGAAAAACAAACAAAGUAAAUAUAAAAAAUUUAUGGUAGUUCGGUGCUAACUCUGCACCACAUCCACUCUCCAAGUUUUUUUGAGAAUUUUACUAUAAUUUAUAACCCAAAUUACGACCCAAUUAUUUUUCGGCUUCACAACAAAAUCUAGUUGAUCUUUCUAGGUCAAUCAACCAAAAUCUUAACCGAUUAUUUUUUGGGUUCACAUCCAACUCAGUUGAUUUUUCAAGCAAUCAACCAAAAUCUUUUCCGAGCUUAUCCUAUGCUCAACACAAUCCAAUUUAAGGUUUGGAUAAAUCUUUUUCCAUGUUUCAAUUUCUGAAACUUGUUACAGCAAUGAAUAGAAAGAAGUAAAUGUUGUUACAAUCAAUACAACUCCAAGACAGUAAAUACAAAAUAAUAAAUAGAGCUACACUAUGUUGGUUACCUUGAAUACUCUUGAAGGUGCUUCACUAACUCUCGGAUGUUGAAGAUGUAAUUUUUCAGCUCACUAUAAAAGUUCUUAAAUGAUAUCUUCUUUUAAGCUCUCUCUUUUUGUUCUCUUUUUCUAACUCUAGUGAAUUUGUCAUUGUAGUGCUUGAGCUCUCUUUCUCCUUUGGUGUUCCCAUACAUUUAUACCUUUGGAAGAAGAUUGAAACAUUUUUCUACAGUUGUCAGGCGCUAAACCAUUGAAGAUGAAAAGAACCAUUUAGAUUCGUAAAAAACUAGUUCUUACAGUUGUCAGGUGCAGAAGAGUUGCCUCGCCAUUUUCUAGGGCCGACUUGAGAUUUUUAGGAGUCAACUCGUGAUCUUCAGGAGUCGGAUCGAGCUUGCUUCUAUUUCUACUGUACUCUGUUUUUCAUCUGUGGCACUUGUAGAGUCAGCACUCUCAAUUUAGGAGUCAACUCGAGAUUUUUAUAACUUGACUCUUUGAUUUCAUGGGUCAACUCUUCGACGGAUUGUCUUUCACUACUUCUGUCUUUCUAUUGUGACCAUUCUGGGGUCAACUCGACUAUUUCUAGGGUCGACUCUAGUUUGACUGGAGUCGGCUUGUGAAUUUCAUGGGUCGACUCGCCGAUGCAGUGAUUUUUUCAGCUUUCUGUCUUUUCUUUAUAGCCAUUUUAGGGUUCACUCGUUUGAUUCUAGGGUCGACUCUUGCUAGUUUAGAGCCGGCUCGAGUAUUUUAUGUGUCAAGUCAUUAAUAAGAUGAAUUUCUUCGCUUUCUAUCUAUCCUUUGAGACUGUUCUAAUUUCAACUCGCGAUUUGUUAGAGUCGGUUUGUUAAGGUGCAUCAAUCAGUGACAGUAUGUCGGGGUCGACUCAUUGCAAGCUUGGGGUCUACUCUUGAGAUAGCUUAGGGUGAAAUUUUUUGUAUUUGCAAGUGAUCUUCCAAGGAAUAUUUUUAUGGCCUUUUGGACUUUAGCUUCUUGAUGUGGUGCUUACAAAGAUGAUCAUCAUUUGAGAGUGCCUGUAGGCUUUCAUCUUUGCUUUCUAAAAUUUAUCACUUAAAGUCAAAGCAAAUACAUUAGUCAAUAUUUGACUUAACUAUUUUGCAUCAUCAAAAUCAAUCUUUUAGGUUCAAUAAUCUCUCCCUUUUUGAUGAUGAUAAAAUUUUUGAGUUCCAAAGAAAUUGAUAUAAACAAUGGUAACAUCUUUUAGAACAAAAUAUAUCUGCAAGAUUCAAAUAGAAAGAAUAAGCAUGAAUAACAUUUGAAUUUAAGUUCACAAAAUUCAUAGAGUGAAAAAAAAUUUUAUAUUGCUUGAUACCAUUCACUCUUUAUGCUUGAUUACAGUUGUUUUAGUUAUAAGUUAAAUAAUUCUUUCUCUUUUUGAUGCAAUAAUAGGACUACUUAAAGAAGAAUAUCAAAUUACUAUUUGCAAAAAGUGUAAAUCUAUCAUUCUCCUUUUACUUUGCUUUUUGCAUUUCUUUUGAACUUUAUCUUAAUCUUAAGGUUUUACAUCAUUGAUGCCAAUGAGCUUUUACCAUUUACUUUUCUAUUUUUCUUUCUCCCCCCUUUUCUUUCGGUAUCUCCUCCUUUCUCUUUCUUCCUCAUUUUGUUAUAAUCAAUAAGGAGGGCACUAGUUUACAGAAUAAGCAUGAGAAUCAUUCAGAUUAAAAUAUUCAUUGCAGUAUAUCAGAUAGACAAACAUUGAUCCUUUCAAUUUAAAUAUUCAUCAGGGAUAAUUGCCGAAAAGAUAAGCACAAGUGACUUGAACUAAACUAGUAGAUUUCAUUAAGCAAAAGAAUUCAAGUACAACUUAAUCACUUGAAUAGUAAAUUUCAUAUGAAGAAGAAGGGACAUUCAAGUGAACAAACAUGCUCGAGAAAGCACCAGCUCGGCAGACCCCAAUUCUAAAGAAUUGAAGAGGUCUAGAUGAGGAGGAGGGCUAACUGGGUUGAGCAGGGGGCCAAGCAGAGGUGGAGGCUCUAGGGAUAGAAGAGGAGUUCUCAAGUUGUCCAAUUAGUCUUUCUAUGGCCUGAAGAAGAAACAUCACUCCAAAAGAAACAAUAGUUGAAAUACCCUGAAUCUCUUCUCCUAAUUGCUAGAUGCCAUAUUCAAUUCGUCCUCUGAGUCUCCCAGUCUUCAAGGCAAGUUCUGAAAUCUGCACAGCAUCUUCAUUUGGAACUUGAUCCAUUCUGCCUUGAUCAACCUUUUCUUCCAAUGAGGCCACUUUUUCUUUAGACUGGCAAUAGAAUUUUGAAUCAAAGAUAAUUUUGAAAUACCCUGAAUCUCUUCUCCUAAUUGCUAGAUGCCAUAUUCAAUUCGUCCUCUGAGUCUCCUAAUCUUCAAGGCAAGUUCUGAAAUCUGCACAGCAUCUUCAUUUGGAACUUGAUCCAUUCUGCCUUGAUCAACCUUUUCUUCCAAUGAGGCCACUUUUUCUUUAGACUGGCAAUAGAAUUUUGAAUCAAAGAUAAUUUUGAAUUUUGAUCUAUCAUCAUUUGAACUAAAUUAGUUAGAUCUCCCACUUGAGACUUCCUUGAGCCAUUUCUUAGUUCAGAAGCUUUAUCUACUAGAAAGGCCAUAGCUAGUUGUUUAGAGAUAAUUUUAUGCUCAUCUUCAUGCAGCCAAAUGUGAGCAAAUUGAUUUCUACUUGCCGAUGGAAUGUCUAAGUCUUCUUUAGCAAUUGGCUUUUUUUAUGCUUCUCUUCUUAUUAGUUCUGUUGUAGCUUCUUCUCUGUUUUCCUCUUCCUCAACACUAGCCGUUCCAUUGGUUGUCACCCAACGACCAUCUUUCUUGUUGAAUCCCAUAUGAUGCAGAGAAUGUUUGUUGUAGGUGUCAAAAAAUAUAAACUCACUAGUUGCCUUACCCAAUAGGUUUAUAGUGAAAUUUUUAAAUAUUCAGUAAGCAUCAAAUAGUAGGGUAGUGGAGCUUUUAUCCUUGAAACAACUUCAUAUAUCCUUUGAAUAAUCAGAGAUCAUAGAUUGAUGGGGAUCUCCUUGAUAAUGUGGAACAUUAUGCAAAGCUCCUGUUUUGACACAAUCUCAAACCUCCCAGACUUUGGAUAAAGUACCAUGUUGAUUAUAUGAUGUGGCAACCUCAUCUCCACACAGAGUUGGGUUUCUUCAAUUUCAACAUUUUUAUUUAUUGAUUCUAUUUCCAGUACGCACUGCAGGGCUGCUUGCCGAUCUUCAACCUUAUCCAUGAGAGCAUCUUGGUUGGGCAUCUGAAGAACUUGCUCAAGCACAUGAUCAUUUAGUUCAAUGCUCACAUUUCUUACCACAGAUGAAAUGCUUCCCAUGCCAAACCUGAGAUUUUGGCAAAAUUCUCAAAUGAGGUCAGGGUAAAUGGGUCCCUUAAGUUUGCAGAAGUACUCCUAGCCUUGGUUUCUGAUAAGCUUUCCGAUUGUGAUUCCCCCAUUUUUCAGAAACUGAAAGUCGAUCUUUCUUCUGGAGGUGAUCUUCCGAGUGGAGAGGGGUGUCAUGCUGGGAAUCCUCGCAGAAGAGGCUGAUAUGAGGAGAAGCGAAAAGCAAUCCUCUAAUUGUUGUUUGAUUGGAGAUUUCCCUGGGUCAUCCUUUUCUUGUUUUGAUUCAAAUUUUUUUCUUCUUAGAGGAAGCAUCUUUCUUGGGAUCAUCCAGAGAUUAAGGACGAGAUGCUAAGGUGAAGAUAAGAGACUAGAGAAAUCCAAGAGAAGGUAGAAGAGAUUUGCUCGGUAAAUCACAAAGGAGAAGAAGAAUUUCGAAGCGAUAAAGAAAGUAAAGAGAAGGGUCAGCUUCGAUUAAAGAUAGCAGAGCUUCUAAGUGUCGACCAAGCAGAUCGACAGCCACACAUGAGUCGACUCAUCACAGGAUAUGAGUUGGCUUCCAACAGCCUAUAGAGCUUUGAGUUAACUCUCGAGUUGACUCAAGGCUUCCUCUUAGGGGUCAGCUCCUCAUUUAGAGUUGACUAUUUAUCUUAAGAGUCAGCUCACAGAGGAAGGGAGUUUAGGAAUUUCAAGGAAAUGCAGUUGAAAUUGAGAUAAUUCACAAAGAAUAAUCAAUAGCGUAAUCAGAUAGAAAUUAAUAGAAAGGUUUACAAACUCCUAAUUUAUUUCUAAUCAUACAAAAUUUGUCUUCAUUCAAAAAUUUUGUGAAGAUGUCAGAAAGUUAUUUUUUUAAACACACAAAUUUAAUUAUUUUGCACAUGGUCUCUUAUGAAAUGAUGUCUUAUCUCGAUGUACUUAGUUUUUGAGUAUCGAAUAAAAUUUUUAGUUAACUUUAUGGCACUUGUAUUAUCACAUUUAAUAGAUAUUUUUUUAAGUCUAAUGCCAUAAUCCUCAAGUUGUUGCUUAAUCUACAAAAUUUGAGCACAACAACUUUCAGUUGCAAUGUAUUCAGCUUCUGCUGUAGAUAAGGCUAUGACAACAAAAUUUUGGCGCCGUUGCCGGAAGGCAAAUUGAGAAGCAAGAACGAUCACGAAGAUCAAAUCAAAUUUUGGAUGUCCGGAGUGAACACACUCCGGUAGUAAGUUUUUUUUUAUUUCUAUUAAUUUUUCUUGUUUUGAUUAUUUUUAGUUAAUAAUUUCGUAGUUAUUAAAUUCUGAAAUUUAAAAUUCAGAAUUUAAAAUUUUGAAAAAAAUUUAAAUUCAAAAAAUUAAAAUUAAAUUUUUUCCAAAAAUACUAAAAUUUAAAAAUUAAAUUCAAAAUUUGAAUUCUGAAAUUCGAAAUUUUAAAAAAGGAAAAGAAAAAAAAAUUUGCUUGCUCAUUUAAUCAGUACAAUCUAAUGGCAUUCCAUAAACUUUAAAAAAAUCAUUGAAUAUUUGUUGCAUUUAGUAUUAAGCAUUUGAAUAAAAUAAUUUAAGGGCAAAACUCAUUAAAAAGAUAAGAUCGGAAAGUCAUUACCUAUCCUUAGCCCAAAAAUCACCACCUUGUAUACAUAUCCUAAGCCAAAUUAAAUUAAAAUCAAUUAGACGUUGGCUUUAGGAUUUUCGAGCUUAAUUAGGCUCUUGGAAAGAAGCAGCUGAAAGCCACUCUAGUGAGAAUUUAGUAAUUGGUGAUGCCUAGGAAAGUUUUACAACAGUGAGAAUUGUUACGGGUAUUGUGGACUGGUGUAUCCCUUCUGGCACUACCACACAUCCCGGGACUUUUCUGGUCACUGGUUACUGGAUCGCUUAACUGGUAAGCUCAAGCUUAAUCUGGAAGGAAGAUUAGGAGUUGUCUAAUCUAGGAGAGAAUUUCAGAAACUUUUUAACCUGAUAAAUCUCUGUGCAAGUAGAUUAAAAGCUACUAAACCUUCUUUAAUCUCAAGAUUAAAGAGCCAAUCCGUUGUGUGGUGUUGAUUGUGGUCAUCUUGGUUUAGCCCUUCUUCUUCUCUUUUAGGAUUUCGUUUAGGAAUCGAGUCUAAUUAGUUGUGGAUAAUGUAUGCAUGGUAGAAGAUCAUUAAGGGGUAAGUUAACANNNNNNNNNNNNNNNNNNNNUUUUGUUUAGGAGUCGAGUCUAAUUAGUUGUGGAUAAUGUAUGCAUGGUAGAAGAUCAUUAAGGGGUAAGUUAACACCAUUUAACCCAGAGAUUGGAAAAAAUUAUCGUCACAUCCAACGAAUUAUUGAUCAACCACCAAUCUCUACAAUAGGCGAUCAUAUUAGAACCUUGAUGAAUUAUUCGCUCCUGCAUCCACUAGUCCACCUACAUGUAUAGUGUUGCCAAUUAAUAACUUUCAAAAAUAUGCUACCCAAAUUCCAUGGGUUUGAAAGUGAACAACCCUAUAUUCAUCUAAAUAAAUUCAUGACAAUUUGUCAAACUUUCAAAAAUCAAAAUUUAGAUGAAGAAAGUGUAAAAUUGAGAUUGUUUCCAAUGACCUUAGAGGAUCGAGCCGCGAUAUGGCUAUAUUCUCUGGCCCCAAAUUCCAUCACAAUAUAGGAACAACUAUCUAGGAAGUUCUGUUGGGAACCCGCCCAUGCUGCAGAAAAUUUAAAAAAUUUUCAGAUGGCAGCGAAAUUGGUAUGCGCGGGAUCAACGUUCAUCUCAUGAACGUUAUUCAGCAACCGUUCGUAGAUAGAUUAGGAUUACAAACUUUAAAACUAUUUGAAAGAUCAAAUCUUCAUCUUGUAUGGGUAGAUGAUCACCGCAAACUGAUGAUCGUGGUUUUGAAAGAAGGCUCGCUUGAAGCCGCACACGCGUCCGGCCUCUACGGGUAUCCACACGAAGCAGAGGACCAAUCCAAAUGCUCCAAUCUCCCCGGGGUGCUAGCUCCCUUGCAGAGAUAUAUUUUGAUGGCUGAUCUCCUCCCUUUCUUUCAACUCUUGAAUGUGCUUGGGAGGAGGAAGAAGAAGGAGGGAUCUUGAAGAAGAACCAAAGGCUAGAUGCAGCCUUUUCUUUACCUUGCGUUGGAAGAAGGAAGGGAGGAGGAAGGAGGCCGCAAACACCUUUUCUCUCUUUCUUCUUGCUUGCGGCUGAAGACCAAGAGGAGGGAGGGGCGUACGGAUGAGGAGGAGAGGGCUUCCCAUGCCCUAGGUGCUGCCCCUUUGAUCCUCUUAAAUAGCAUGUGGAGCUCCUACCUUUUAGGAGCUCCAAACUAUUUUCCAAAGAGGGGCGCUGGCCCCUCUUGUCUUGCCGCACCAAAGAAGAAAAGGAGGAGGGGCGCAAGCUCCUCCUUCUUGUCUCACCAUCCACCAGUGACACCUAGCAGCAUGUAGUGGCUAUCCAGCAGAAUGGAAUGAUGAACCUCUAGGUGCAGUUAUCGUAUGAUACAGUCCUACUAUCGUGGAUCCCUACAGGACGGAGGUCAUGGAUAACUCGUCAAACCCCAUCGUCUGUCAUAUGUCAAGAUUUAUUCGACUUAAGUUCGAGAGUGAAAAACUCUUUCUCCACUAUUUUUACUGCCCCGGCCGAGGUCUUACAAACUCAGUCUUAUAAAUUACAUAGGAUCUCUCCUUAUCUACCAAGGUCAAUAGAUUCCAUUAAGGUGCAUACCCUACUCCUACUGUGAACCUAUUGCAGCCAAUUUACACUUCAUGGAUCCAUAUGUCUAGAGACCAUGUAUACGUGUAGUCAAACUAAAAUAACCUCACUGUGAGUAGCCGAAGCACCGCAGGUUAAAGGAUCAGUCAAACUACUGCAACAUUAAGCAAGUCACUGAUGAGUGGAUAGACAUCCAAGUGACUUCUUGUCUUGGUCACGCUCAGUACCCUUGUUCUUUAACAAGCACCUGCACUAUUACUUCAGUAUCACCACACCAUGGAUUUNNNNNNNNNNNNNNNNNNNNCAAUUAUUAUUUUUUUUGAAAUUUAAAAAAAAUCACUUCUUUUUUUUAAAAAAAUUUUAAAUUCCGAAUUUCAAAUUUAAGAAUUUAAUAAGUUUGAAAUUAUUAACUAAAGAUAAUCAAAACAAGAGAAAUUAAUAAAAAUAAAAAUAGAAAAACUUACUACCGGAGUGCGUUCACUCCGAGCAUCCAAAAUUCGAUUUGAUUUUUGUGAUCGUUCUUGCUUCUCGAUUUGCCUCCCCGGCAAUGGCACCAAAAUUUUGUUGUCCGGUUCUUGUUUAUCUAAAAAUACGCUAAACAGAUUGUUGUUAGAACAGACAAACAAAGUUUAAAUUAAUUUUACUCUUACCUGUUCUACUCGAAGAAUAAUGGUCGUAGGAGGUCGAUCCAUAGGGAGGCGAUUGGAGUUGCAUAAAAAUGUAAACAUUCACUCGGAUUCGAAAUCGAUUUUUAAAUGACAGAAAAAAAACAUUACUUUGAGGAUGUUAAAUGAUUUCUAAUUGAAAAUAAACAAAGGAAAGAAGGAAAAUUUUGCAAUUGAAAUUGGAUGCAGAGUAGGAGUCGAUUUCUAAAGACAGAUUAUGAAUUAAAAUCGCCAGUUGAACAGCAAAGAUUAAUUUCAGAGUUAUCUUAAAAUUAAGAAUUCCAAAAUGCAUAAAAUAAAUUGCAGGAUUUAAAUUGAAACUUAAAACAUAGAUUGCAUAAAAGAUAAGUGUAUGGAUUGCAUAAAAGGGCAAUUACAAAAAUAAAUUGAAGAUUGGAAGCCUAAUGCUUCCUCCUUCUACAAAAUAAAACAUAAAAAUCAAGAAAGAAAAAAAAANNNNNNNNNNNNNNNNNNNNAUUGCAUAAAAGGGCAAUUACAAAAAUAAAAUGAAGAUUGGAAGCCUAAUGCUUCCUCCUUCUACAAAAUAAAACAUAAAAACCAAGGAAGAAAAAAAACAAGAAAACUCCCCUUUCUUCCCCUCCCCUUAUUUUUUUAUUCUCUUUUUUUUUUUCAAACCAAAACAGAGCCAUGCUCUGUUUCUAUUUUUGUUUUCUUCUUUGUCUCUUCUAAACCGAACACUCCAUCCUGUUCCUUCUUGAACCAGCCGACCUCCGCUGUUACUUGGCCCCAAUCCCAACCAAGGACCCCGAGCUUCCCUCUCCUCCUCUCGUCCUCCCCUUCUUAUAGAUCGCCCGAGCCUUGAAACCGGCGAUGGAUCAAAACGGUCGCGGGAUCGAUGGGUGCUGAUCACGGAUGGAUGAGGCGGAGGGCGUCAAUCCGUGGGAGAUGGCUAGAUCACGGGCUCCUUGGGCGGAUUGAAACGAAAGAGGAUGGGAACGUGGAUCCGGGUGUUGGGAGGAGCCGAUCAUGGCUUGAUGGGCGCUAUGCUGGGAGAUUGCGGCCGGAUCAAGCUGGAGGGAGCUGAUCUGGAUGGUGAUCCAUGGCUGGGGCACUGCAGGAGGAAGAAAUGGAAGGGAGGAGAUGCAUGCGGCUGGAUCACGGCUUGCAUUACGGCUGGGAUGCUUGCAGUCAAAAGGAGUGGAUCAUGGAUGCUGAUUCGGGAAGGAAGCUAGCUGCGGUUCCUUGAUCACGGACGGAUGAAAUCCUUGGACACGGAAGCUUGGUCCGUGGAGGGGGUGAUUCACGGAUGGCUGAGCCACGAGAUGAGCUGGGAUCACGGACGCGGAAGGUGCCGGUGAUGAAGCGAAAGAUGAAUACAGACGGGAUGAUGGCGUGAUCUGGAAUGGAGCUGGGGUCUCCCGUGAUCAAUGGAUUUGGAGACGCCUUGCAGCUGGGCUGGCACGGGAGGGAAGGGCUGUUGAGGAAGGUUGCAACGCCGGUUGGGACGCGGUUGUUGCUGGCACGUUGAUCAUGGACUCGAGGCCGCCGGAUCUGAUCUGGAAGAUGGACGGCCGUGAUGCACUGUAGGAGGAAGAAGAAGAACAGUGUUUUCACGAAACACUGUUCAUAUGAACNNNNNNNNNNNNNNNNNNNNCUGGAAGAUGGACGGCCGUGAUGCACUGCAGGAGGAAGAAGAAGAAUAGNGUUUUCACGAAAUACUGUUCAUAUGAACAGUGUUUUCAGCAUGAAUAAUAAUUUCAGGAAUAGUCUUUUCAGCUAUUCUUCAUGGGAUUUAAAAAGUUCUUUUUCUUUGUGAUAAAGUGAGAGUGGAAUCUCUAUUCCGAAAGAGUGCGGGUGCUAAUCCGCGAGGAUCAUUGGGAGAUCGCACGUGGGCUCGGAUGUUUGGGUACAAAUGUGCUUAAUCAGAUCAUGGGAGGAUUGGGCCCGCACGGUUUGGGCUGUUGCUGGCUGGCACGCUGGAAUCAUAGUUGGGCUCAAACCCAAUGUUAUUGGGUUUUUUAGAUUACUUGCACUCAAACACAAA